ensembl:lncRNA
UUCCAUGUCUUUCAACACCACAACUGCAGCCACAUCUGUCAGUUUCUGCCAACUGACAGAAUCAAGGAAGUGUGAUUGAUUCACAAUCUCUUCGAGAUGGUAACUAUUUAAUUUCAUCAUAAUUAUUCAAUUAUUAUUAUUUAUUGCUGUAGUUUGUAAUGUCAUUUAUGUUUCAAAAUAAAUUCUGCACAAAAAUCUACAAGUUAUUUGAGAAUUUAGAAAGAAGAAUCAUGUUGAAACUGGACCAAAUCCAAAACAACAUUACAUCAGUGGUUGAAACAAUGCAGCAAUCAAUGAACCAGCCAAGCACCUCUGUCUCCGAUCUCACAGAGGUGCUAGAGAAACCAUGCAAGACUGUAGAGGAAUUAGAGGAGUUGUGUGAUAAGCUGAAAGAUGCUCAAUUUCGAAAGAAGAUGAUUCGUUAUCUGUGUCUUCAGAGUGGAGGGAGCUUGGGAGAAGGAAUUAGGAGGAUGCUGAAAAAAUUGGAGAUAAUUCCUUAUGGGGAUAUUACAGUUACAAAGGGAGAAAGGGAAAACUUAAAUUUCAGCAGCUCCUCAUCAAUGAUGUCUUCAUACGUGCCUGCAGCAAGGCAUACCCAAACCAAAAAUCCCAGAGUGUGGAAGAGAUGAUUGCUGUCACCCUAAAACAUGCCCCGGAUCGUGAAAAAACAGUUAAUCAGUGAACUGCACUGGUCAGCAGAAGGUUGCUGGAUCAAUCUCCGCAGUCGUCUCCACCGGUGUGUCUUUACUCCAGGUGACUCCAGAGGAUUGAGGUCCCUUUAAUAAGAGCACUGUAAGUCACUUCAGAUAAAAGCAUAUGUCAAAUUAAUAAAUGUAAAUGUGAUUUUUGUAAAUACUUGUUUGUGUCUUGGGCACAAACGCUCAAUAAAGCUACUACUAUAAUAUUAAUGCAUGCUUAUAUUUCAUACAGUUUCUAUUUGGGGCUUUAAAGGUUAUGUUUAAAUCUAAACAUAAAUUCAGUCAUUAUUUACUCGCCUCCAUGCUGUUCAAUCCUUGUGUGUGUGUGUGUGUGUGUGUGUGUGUGUGUGUGUGUGUGUGUGUGUGUGUUUUCCUGAUCACAAAAGGUGAUUUUGUUCAAGUUUCUCCUGCUGGUUUGUGUUCAUACAGUAUCAGUCAAUGGAGCCUGACUUUCAGAUUCUUCGUAACAUUAUUUGAUGAUGCUUUUGAAGCUUCUGAAACUCGGCUUUCAUUGACUGAUGUUGUAUGAACAGAAAGCAGCAGAACAAACUUGACAAAAAUCACAUCCUAAAUGUCUUUUGGUCUUUCUCUAGAUGCUCUCGCUGCUCUGGGCUCACUGAGGAUGAAGAGACCACAGCAACAUCCGGUCCUGAUGAGAAAACAAGGGCAGUGAUGGAGCAUUUCAUCCAUGACACUGGACCAUUUCCAGGAUGAUGCUGUGUACUUCUCCAUCCUCACUGCUCACAGCAGUCUGCAGACAUUUCAGAUCCUGCAAAGAUGCACAAACAAAAAACAAAAGCAGUCAUUUUAACAGCACAAUGUCAUUUGAUUUCUGUAUUAGAAGUAACAAAAUGAUCUUACUUUAUAUUUUUGUUUCAGGUUUUACCUUUUUUCCACAAAUGCUGCAGUCACCUGAUCCGCCACAAAAGAUCUGCAGCAAAUGCACAGGAAUCAAGAAUCAGAAAAGUGCUGUAAUAACUCUUUGAAAUUACAAUAAUUAAAAUAAAGUACAACUUAAGAUUUAAAAGAUGUUUUAUUGAUGACUGUAGUGUACUCACUGAGUCUUUGAUGGAAGCAUUCCUUUAUCAGUCUCUCUUCAGCAGAUAAACACACGUGUGUCUCAUCUGUCCCUGUAACAUCCAGACAAGAGUCAGUCUUCUCUGUGAUUUAUCUGUGAUAUACUGCAUUUACAGUAACUCACUUUUUAUCCAACACAAAUGUUCCUCAAUUUAUCAACAAUACUAAUGGUCAAAUGAAAUAGAUAACUUAUGUUUACUUACUCUAUGUAGAUUUGUUUGUUUACAUUACUUUCAUUCAUCUAAAGCAGUGUUUACAGUGAAUUCUACAUAAUAGCACACACACAUCUCUCACUCAGAUGUCUGUUCAUGUUGUGAUUUGCUCAUCUACAAUGUUCUUAGAACAUUUUCCUGUCUCAUAUUAAAUAGACAUUUAAUCGUCUUUAAGAUGUAUAUGGUUUAUGUAAAUUUACUUUGGAGAUGUACAUGUGCUUACUGGAGCUCUGCUGUUCGCCAUACAUAAAAUGUUUAUACAGAAAAAAAAAAAUUACAAAUAUACUGUAACGUUACUGGCUGGCGUCUUUACACCUUAACAAAUCAACAGUUUACUCUACAGUAGCUCAACAAAUAUGAUUUUAACACAUGGGAACCAUGUUUUGGUUUAUAAUACUCACCUUUAUAAACCCUCGUCGCUGCUCUCCUUCACGUUCCAUGAGGACGUAUCCUCUCGCUUGGCAUCCUGGGAUUGGGAAUACUGCGGUUUCGAAUGUACUUCUUACUUCACAUACUCUUUUUCCCUACUAUAUAGUAGGUAAGUAGGCAUAUUAGAAUGCAAAUUAAGUAUACGUACGUCCGAAUCUCGCAAGAAUUAGUGCAAUUCUUGCCUACUCUUUUAUGAACACUGAGGAUUCAAACAUACUCGCCUACUGCUUUUUGCAUACUAUAUAGUAUGUGUGACUGAUGACAUCAGAGGGUUGUGAUUGGUUGACUGAAAUGUUAAUCCAGGAUCACUUAUGCCUCAUUUUUCUUUCACUGCAAACAUGUUUUUUUCUUUCAAGCAAUACUUGGUGUGAUAUUUUUACAUCUAUCCUUUGGAAAUUAACAUUGGACGAUAAUAAAAAUGCGAAUAAAACAAAGUUAAUGACAAAGUUGUGACUUUAUAAACAUUUGCCAGUCAAUUUGUGUAGAAAAUACUUCAUACAUCCACUAGAAAUCACCAAAACACCAGCUGAUGCAAUCACAUCGAGCAAAAAUGAAGAACGUGAACAUUAGUGAAAAGAUUCUGCAAAAAAAAAAUCCUUAAAUUAAUGUUCAGAUAUAUAAAGUGUGCCUUAAGUGUCUAAGAAGUUAAUUGACAGCAUUUUACAGUAUGUCAUACACUGAAGAUAAUCAACAUGAUUUCACAAAAUAACAGUAACAAUACAUUCAUGCUUAUGGCAGAUGCUUUUAUUCAAAGCGAUUUACAUUGGAUUCAAGGUGUACAUUUAAUAUGUGUACGUUUUACAAGACUGUGCCUUGCAAAAAAUGAAAAAAGCUUUAUCAAGAUGAUUUAUAUCCAAUUUAAACAUGACAUAGCAAUAUUUUGGUUAAAAAGAAUGGUUAAAAGCAACAUUUCAAAGCUCUUCACUCCCAUCGUGAUGAAAUCAGAUCAUGCUCUUUAAAAGCAAGGCUGUGGACUUGUGUUCAUAUCAAUAUGUUGACCAUGAUAGUGCACAGGUAGAUUCUUCUCACAUUUAACAAUUAUGUACAUUAUAUUUGCCUGAAGUACAGUUUCCAAUGAUAAACUGUGGUUCUAUUCCCUUAGUGCUUUUAACAAUGUACACUUCAAAGAGAUCUGUACUUUUGGUAUAGUUCUUUUUUUUUUUUUUUCACCAGAGCCAGUACAGAUUUGUUUGAUAUUUUCCUAUCUGCUCUUGAUGAAUGAUUGUGUUUCAGUUCUUUCACAGAGUUUAUUAUUCAAUAAAUGCUUCCUCCAAGCAAGUAUAUCCUUGGUAUUAAACCGAAUAGGGAGAAUGUGUUUUUUCUUGAAUUCAGUAAAGCUCUGACAGUCUGCUGCAUCACUGAGAGCCAGAAUGAAGAGCAAGAGAAGUGCGACUGAUCUCAUCCUGAGACAAACAGGAGAAAAGAGUAAAAUUUUUGUUUAAUAUUUUUGAAAGAAGAUUCUCUGCAUUUUUCUUUGAUAAACUGUCAAAAACAUUAAUAUUGUGGAAUUCCAAUUUAAAAUCAUUUUGUUUGAUUAUCAGAUGUUUAGAUGUAAUUGUUUCUGUGAGUCAAAGUUCAUUUUGAUUGGUCAUUACUCCAGUCUUCAGUGUCAUAUGAUCAGUGUUGGGGAGUAACGGAAUACAUGUACCGGCGUUACGUAUUCAGAAUACAAAUUAUGAGUAACUGUAUUCCGUUACAGUUACAAUUUAAAUAGUUGGUAUUUAGAAUACAGUUACAUUGUUGAAAUCAAUGGAUUACAUGAGGAUACUUCUCUGUUUCACAAUCUCUAAAUAACGUUUAUAUAUAUAUAAAAAAAAAUUAAAAUAAAUUAAGGCAACUUCAUGCAUUUCCCAGAAGCCCCAAUAUAAAAACGAAAAAAUGCGCGGUUUGCGUGAUCAGUCACAUGGAGUCGGAAGAGGAGCAGCGGGAGCUCAGCUACAGGUAGAGAUGGAGCCGAAACAACAGAGCCAGGGCAAGAAUGCGUUUAUAUCUUGGAAAUUUAAACAGCAUUUCACACUAAAAAAAGAGGGAGAACGAAAUAUAUCUGUGCAAUGCAACCUCUGCUUACCAGCAACCAACCUCCUUUCAGCGUCCAAAGACUCCACUUCCAACCUGAAGAAGCAUCUUAAA